AUUGAACGCUGGCGGCAGGCCUAACACAUGCAAGUCGAGCGAGAGGCGGACGGGUGAGUAAUGUCUGGGAAACUGCCCGAGGGAGGGGGAUAACGACUGGAAACGGGAGCUAAUACAGCAUACCAUCAGAUGUGCCCAGAUGGGAUUAGCUAGUAGGUGGGGUAACGGCUCACCUAGGCGAAGAUCCCUAGCUGGUCUGAGAGGAUGACCAGCCAUCCUGGAACUGGUACACGGUCCAGACUCCUACGGUAGGCAGCAGUGGGGAAUAUUGCACAGUUGGCGCAAGCCUGAUGCAUCCAGGCCGCGUGUGUGAAGAAGGCCUUCGGGUUGUAAAGCACUUUCAGCGGGGAGGCGUUACCCGCAGAAGAAGCACCGGCUAACUCCGUGCCAGCAGCCGCGGUAAUAC
rnacentral:rRNA from 1 species